rnacentral:rRNA from 1 species
AUAUUUUAAGUAUUUUUAUAACCGAAUAGUUUAGAUCUUAGAGUUGAUUGUUUGGAACUGGUUUGUCUUUUAGGUAAAGUAGAUGAAAAUUGAUUUUAAGAAGUGAUAAGUUAUUCGUUAAACUUUAUAUCUGUUUAGUUGCUUGUGUAUAUCGAAGAAUAGGAUAGGCUAUGAGGUCUGUUUUAAGUUUAUAUUGAAUUAUGAUUGUCUGGAAAAUUAGGUUAAAAGUACCUAUUUUUUAUGAGUUUGUUAAAAGAAUUUGUAUUUGGUUUGGACAAUUAGUUAUUGUAGCAACUUAGAAUAUCUUUUAGUUUAAAAGAAUUAUUAAAUAAGUAAUUGUAUCAUGUCAAUUAUUUCUCAGGGUCUUUCCGUCUGUUUAUUAAAAACAUUUCCAGUUUGGAGUUUAACUGGUAGUACCUGCCCGGUGUGAUUUUAUAAAUGGCCGCAGUAUACUGACUGUGCAAAGGUAGCAUAAUUAAUUGCCUUUUAAUUGGGGGCUUGUUUGAAUGGUU